rnacentral:ribozyme from 13 species
ACCAAAAGAAACAGGAGAAACAAAAUAAGAAACAACUUUUUCUUUUCCUCCUUCAAUCACAAUUGUCUCUUUCUCUUCUCUCUUUCCCUCUUCUCUCUCUUC